UAGUGUGCCAAGAUGGGAGCUGAUAGCAGGAAUUCCUGGCAUCCUCAGUUCUAAGUGGUCAUAUCCCCAUUGGAUGCUGAGCUUCCUGGAGGCAGGUGGGGUGGAGCUGCAGGUCACCACUUGUCAUAAGACCAUGUGGGUGGCAGGAGGUGAGGCUGGACCUCUCAUGCCCAGGCCCUGUCUCACACACAGGGGCAGAGCCAAGGGCAGCAUAAAAGGGCCUGUGGCCAGAGGCUCUCCAUCCUCAUCCUCUCCUGUCCUAAGGUGCUGAGAGCUGAGCUGCUAGUACCUGGUCCUGAAGGCCACCCACCAGCAUGUCCUGCCAGCAGAGCCAGAAGCAGUGCCAGCCCCCUCCCAAGUGCUCCCCCAAGUGUCCCCCCAAGUGUCCCCCAGUGUCCUCCUGCUGCAGCUCUGGGGGUGGAGGCUGCUGUAGCUCUGGGGGUGGGGGCUGCUGCCUGAGCCACCACAGGCCGCGCAGGUCCCACCGCCACAGGCAGAGCUCUGGCUGCUGCAGCCAUUCCUCAGGGGGCUCCAGCUGCUGUGGAGGGGGCUCCAGCUGCUGUGGAGGGGGCUCCAGCUGCUGUGGAGGGGGCUCCAGCAGCUGUGGAGGGGGCUCCAGCUGCUGUGGAGGAGGGAGCACUCAGUCCUCUGGAGGCUGCUGCUGAAGGGCACUCUUGACAAGAAUAAGGGCUUAGAAACACACAAAGAGCAACUGCAUCUUUCUGCACCUGCUUCUGCUGCUGAAACUCUUCAGUGAAGGCAGAUUCUGUGCUGGAGACUCUACACUGGAAUCCUCUUCACAAGUCUGUCCUGGUCUGCCUGAUCUGGGCAUUCCUGCAGACUAUAACCUCCUGAAUUGAUUCAAUAAAGCUUUACCCCCCCCCCCCC